rnacentral:rRNA from 1 species
UACGUAGGGUGCGAGCGUUAAUCGGAAUUACUGGGCGUAAAGCGCGCGUAGGCGGCUUUGCAAGUCGGAUGUGAAAAGCCCUCGGCUCAACCGGGGAAGUGCAUUCGAAACUGCUGUUCUUGAGUGUCGGAGAGGGUGGUGGAAUUCCCGGUGUAGAGGUGAAAUUCGUAGAUAUCGGGAGGAACACCAGUGGCGAAGGCGACCACCUGGACGAACACUGACGCUGAGGCGCGAAAGCGUGGGGAGCAAACAGG